AAGGGUAAAGGAACAGUACCACUGCUGGAUAAUUGGAAAGUCCCUGUGUGUCAACCUCUGUGCUUCGUGGCAAGGUAGACUAGCAAACAUGCCCAACCUUUACUCACAUUCGAGAAAACACUCCCAAUAAGAUUGCUUGCUCCAAAAUCGAAGAGGCACCGUCCUCCGAAUCUCGAGAGCCAGACUCCCAACAUGACUACUUUCUUAAAAAUCGAAGAGAGGGUAAAGGAACAGUACCAUUGCUGGAUAAUUGGAAAGUCCCUGUGUGUCAACCUCUGUGCUUCGUGACAAGGUAGACUAGCAAACAUGCCCAACCUUUACUCACAUUCGAGAAAACACUCCCAACAAGAUUGCUUACUCCAAAAUCGAAGAGGCACCGCCCUCCGAAUCUCGAGAGCCAGACUCCCAACAUGAUUACUUUCUAAAAAAUCGAAGAGACACUGCUCCCCGAAUCUCGAGAGCCAGACCCCCAGCAUGAUUGCUUUCUCAAAAAUCGAUGAGGCAUCGUUCUCUGAAUCAAUCGAAGAGGCGCUCGCUUUCUCAAGAGCUGGGCUGCUCAGAGACCACGAGGGCCGAUCUCAGAAAUCGAAGAGGCACCUACUUUUCUAGCCUUGUCAGCACCUGUCACACGCACACUCAGCUUUGCAGAAAUUAUGGGCAUUCUGUCGAAGACUUCUGGUGAAGUAGAAAGCACAUGAAUCUUACUGUUCAAUCACCCACUUCCCACACGCAACAAUAACUCAUGGGUACCACAAAUAACUUUGCCAAAGUUCUCUGCCAAAGUUGAGCACGUGAAGCUUGCAGCUCCCACUACAUCGCUCUGACCAAGAAAGGUAAAAGAAUAGCAAAGAAACAGCACUAACAAAAGUUUAGACACAUAAAUUUUGAAGGUCUAGCUACCAUAUUAUUACCCACAACUGUAAAGGAACAGUACCACUGCUGGAUAAUUGGAAAAGUCCCUGUGUGUCAACCUCUGUGCUUCGUGGCAAGGUAGACUAGCAAAACAUGCCCAACCUUUACUCACAUUCGAGAAAACACUCCCAAUAAGAUUGCUUGCUCCAAAAUCGAAGAGGCACCGUCCUCCGAAUCUCGAAAGCCAGACUCCCAACAUGACUACUUUCUCAAAAUCGAAGAGAGGGUAAAGGAACAGUACCAUUGCUGGAUAAUUGGAAAGUCCCUGUGUGUCAACCUUUGUGCUUCGUGGCAAGGUAGACUAGCAAACAUGCCCAACCUUUACUCACAUUCGAGACAACACUCCCAACAAGAUUGCUUGCUCCAAAAUCGAAGAGGCACCGCCCUCCGAAUCUCGAGAGCCAGACUCCCAACAUGAUUACUUCCUCAAAAAUCGAAGAGACACUGCUCUCCGAAUCUCGAGAGUCAUACCCCCCAGCAUGAUUGCUUUCUCAAAAAUCGAAGAGGCAUCGUUCUCCGAAUCUCGAGAGCCAGAUACCACAGACCACUUUUUCAAAGUGCUCUGACAGAGUUAAAACAUGUGAAACUGGCAGCUCCCACUACCGUGCUAUGACCAAGCAGGGUAAAGGAAUAGCAUUACUAUUUGUUGUUAGGGAGACUCCUAUAUAUGUCGACCUCCAUCCCCAACGGACAGGCAGACCUGCAAAAAUGCUCAACCCUUCAUCAUAUCUGAGAGGGCAC
rnacentral:lncRNA from 1 species